rnacentral:rRNA from 1 species
UUCGGGGCGGGCCGGGCGGUCUGCCGAUGGGUAUGCACUGUUCGGCGCGUCCUUCUUUCCGGAGACCGCGCCUACUCUUAGCUGAGCGGGCGUGGGAGACGGAUCGUUUACUUUGAAAAAAUCAGAGUGUUUCAAGCAGGCAGCUCGCUCUUGCAUGGAUUAGCAUGGGAUAAUGAAAUAGGACUCUGGUGCUAUUUUGUUGGUUUCGAACACCGGAGUAAUGAUUAACAGGGACAGUCAGGGGCACUCGUAUUCCGUCGAGAGAGGUGAAAUUCUCAGACCAAUGGAAGACGAACCACUGCGAAAGCAUUUGCCAGGGAUGUUUUCACUGAUCAAGAACGAAAGUUAGGGGAUCGAAGACGAUCAGAUACCGUCGUAGUCUUAACCAUAAACCAUGCCGACUAGGGAUUGGAGGGUGUUCUAUUUGACCCCUUCAGCACCUUACGGGAAACUAAAGUCUUUGGGUUCCGGGGGGAGUAUGGUCGCAAGGCUGAAACUUAAAGGAAUUGACGGAAGGGCACCACCAGGAGUGGAGCCUGCGGCUUAAUUUGACUCAACACGGGGAAACUUACCAGGUCCAGACAUUGUUAGGAUUGACAGAUUGAGAGCUCUUUCUUGAUUCGAUGGGUGGUGGUGCAUGGCCGUUCUUAAGUGGUGGAGUGAUUUGUCUGGGUUAAUUUCCCGUUAACGAA